rnacentral:ribozyme from 1 species
UGCAGAGUGGGGCGGGUGGAUCCUGCCUUAAUGCACUCACCCUGACGGGUGAACGGUCACAAGUCCGU